rnacentral:tRNA from 1 species
GGGCCCGUGGCGCAGUUAGGAAGCGCGGCGGCCUUCUAAGCCGCAGGUCCCGGGUUCAAAUCCCGGCGGGCCCG